rnacentral:rRNA from 1 species
CAUCCAGAGAACUUUCCAGAGAUGGAUUGGUCCCUUCGGGAACUUUGAGACAGGUGCUGCAUGGCUGUCGUCAGCUCGUGUUGUGAAAUGUUGGGUUAAGUCCCGCAACGAGCGCACCCCUUAUCCUUUGUUGCCAGCGGUUAGGCCGGGAACUCAAAGGAGACUGCCAGUGAUAAACUGGAGGAAGGUGGGGAUGACGUCAAGUCAUCAUGGCCCUUACGAGUAGGGCUACACACGUGCUACAAUGGCGCAUACAAAGAGAAGCGACCUCGCGAGAGCAAGCGGACCUCAUAAAGUGCGUCGUAGUCCGGAUUGGAGUCUGCAACUCGACUCCAUGAAGUCGGAAUCGCUAGUAAUCGUAGAUCAGAAUGCUACGGUGAAUACGUUCCCGGGCCUUGUACACACCGCCCGUCACACCAUGGGAGUGGGUUGCAAAAGAAGUAGGUAGCUUAAC